UUCCAGACUCCUACGGGAGGCAGCAGUGAGGAAUAUUGGUCAAUGGGCUAAGGCCUGAACCAGCCAAGUCGCGUGAGGGAGGACGGUCCUAUGGAUUGUAAACCUCUUUUGUCGGGGAGCAACGAGGCCACGUGUGGCCGAAGUGAGAGUACCCGAAGAAAAAGCAUCGGCUAACUCCGUGCCAGCAGCCGCGGUAAUACGGAGGAUGCGAGCGUUAUCCGGAUUUAUUGGGUUUAAAGGGUGCGUAGGCGGGCAUUUAAGCCGGCGGUCAAAUGUCGGGGCUCAACCCCGGCCUGCCGUCGGAACUGGGUGCCUUGAGUGGGCGAGAAGUAUGCGGAAUGCGUGGUGUAGCGGUGAAAUGCAUAGAUAUCACGCAGAACCCCGAUUGCGAAGGCAGCAUACCGGCGCCCUACUGACGCUGAGGCACGAAAGCGUGGGUAUCGAACAGGAUUAGAUACCCUCGUAGU
rnacentral:rRNA from 1 species